rnacentral:misc_RNA from 1 species
GAUUACGUCAGAAAAACUCGUCGAUGUGAGUAACGAUGGCGGCUCCUUUGGAAGGAAAUUUGCACGUGUUUUUAGACGUAAAAAUUGGUGAAGAACCCGCUGGGCGUAUUAUCCUAGAAUUGUUCAAAGAUGUUGCACCUAAAACUUGUGAAAACUUCAGAGCUCUCUGUACAGGGGAAAAUGGUGUUGGAAAAAAAGGAAAACCUCUUCACUAUAAAGGUUGCAGAUUUCAUAGAGUAAUUCGUCAGUUCAUGGUUCAAGGUGGAGACAUCACAAACAAUGAUGGAACUGGAGGAGAAAGUAUAUAUGGAGAGAGUUUUGAAGAUGAAAACUUCAACUUAAAGCAUGAUAAAGCAGGGCUUCUUGGAAUGGCUAAUGCUGGUCCAAAUACCAACAGUUCUCAGUUUUAUAUCACAACAGUUCCUACUUCUCAUCUAGACAACAAACAUGUUGUUUUUGGUAGAGUAAAGAAAGGUUUGGGUACUGUCCACCUGCUGGAAAGUGCACAUACAGGACCAAAUGACAGACCAGUAGAGGAUUGUUUUAUAUACAACUGUGGAGAAAUACAACCUGGUGAAGAUUUUGGUCUUGGUGAAAAAGAUGGAACAGAAGAUGUAUUUCCAAUGUUUCCUGAAGAUGCAGAAAUACACUUUACACAGAUAGAAAAGGUUCUUCAAGUUUCAGAAAUGAUCAAAAGAUCUGGGAACUUGUAUUUUAGGAAGCAGGACUAUGUUAUGGCACAUGCCAAGUACAAGAAAGCAUUAAGGUAUCUUAAUAAACUACAAGAAGUCAAUGAACUUCAAAAAGAUGAAGAGAGAAAAGUGAUUGUUUUUGUAUUACCUUGUAUUCUGAAUAGGUAAGACUAAAAACUUUAAAUAUUUCCUAAGCAUUGUUUGGGAGAUUUUGUUCAGGCUCUUGAUCUGGAUUCUACAAAUCCAAAAGCUUUAUUCAGAAGAGGUCAAGCUUUUCAUGGGAGAAGAGAUUAUGACAGAAGUUUGAGAGAUCUCCAUCAAGCUUUGAAGUUUGCUCCACAUGAUAAAGCGGUUAUGGCAGAAAUAGUGGCUGUGAAGGGAGAAAUGCAAGCAUACAAAGCCAAGGAAAAAAAAGCCUAUGCUAAACUGUUCCAUUGACACUGAGUUCUAGUACCUUAAAAUUUUUGGCACCUGGAACAGAAAGGUAAAUAGGUGUACCAUGGAUAAACUGGUAUUUUAUUAUAGUAAUUGUAGACCAGAAUUAAGAACGUGUCAUUAGUUGUCCCAAGAGUAUACUGAUGUGCAAUGAUAAUACUGAGCCAGGGAAACAAAAUUCUUUGGUGACAUGCUUCUAAAUGUAAUUAUGCUAGUUCUGUGAGAAAGACAAAUUGGAAAGAAAAGUAUAUUGAUUUGUUCAAGGAGGAAAUAAUUAUUAUGAAGUAUUACAAAAUCAAGAAAAGUUUUAAGAUAAUUCAGCUGAUCCAGUACUGGUUAAAAGGCUAUUGACCUCGACCAAGAAGAAAGAAAAAAACAUUAUGGUACUGAACUUAUACCACAGAUGAACAAAUCACCUAACCCUUAAAGGAAGAGCGAGAUUUUGUUAGGCUGCUUUUAUAAACUUAUCCUUGCAGAUAUAGUUCUAGAGGCCUACAAACAACUGUAGUUAUUCAGAAAGAAUACUAACCGGUGAUAAACUUAUUUGUAAUUAUUUGAAAAUGUAAUACUUACACUUUUUGUUUGCAUGACAAUUCCAUCCUUAUUCAGUGAUUAAAUUGGGACAGAAUGGUCUGGAACAGUGCUCUGCCUCUCGAGGAAUCUUGGCCAUCAGUGUUCGUGGUCUUCUGAUUGGAAUGUGAAAGUGGAUCACAAAAGGGAGUUCCACCAUUUUCAAAAUCCUAAUUUAACCACUGCUCUUAUUAACAGUUGGAAGCUCUACAAUGGAAUGAAAGUCUGAAAACUGAUCAAUAUGUGUCAAUUUAAUCUCCUUAAUGUUUGGUAAGAAAGCUUUGUAUCCAUCACUCUUUUACUUCAAAAUCAUAAUAGAAACACAGACUGAUUAUUAGAAAGGAAUGCACUGUUUAUUGCAAAUAGACAAGUGGGCAGCUUAGUUACCUAUUCCUCUCAAGAGGUAGUAACUUGUAACAGCAAUAAAUUGUCACUGAUAUUUUUGCUCUAUUGUAUAUUAUAGCAUGUAGAUAGAACAUUUGAUCCUUGAUGAUUUUUCGACGUUAUGGCUUAAUGAAAGUUUUACUGAUAUUUUCCCCAAUCCUUUUAUACUUUAAUACACACAAUUGUUAGUUGAAGGUAAGUGCUAAUAUAGCCAUUUUAAAAGAAUAUUGUAUGUGAAGUGAACAGAGUGAUUAAUAUAUUUUGUGUAUCUAACAUAAUUUUCUCUCUGUUUCAAAAAAACAAAGGGAAUAGUACAGUAAGUUCUUUCAUUAAAUCUUAUUGUCAUACCUUUUCUUCUGAUAAAGACAUUCCAAAUUAAAAAUAUGUUUAACACAUUAAAAA